rnacentral:rRNA from 1 species
UGGGGAAUAUUGGACAAUGGGCGCAAGCCUGAUCCAGCCAUGCCGCGUGGGUGAAGAAGGCCUUCGGGUUGUAAAGCCCUUUUGUUGGGAAAGAAAUCCAGCUGGCUAAUACCCGGUUGGGAUGACGGUACCCAAAGAAUAAGCACCGGCUAACUUCGUGCCAGCAGCCGCGGUAAUACGAAGGGUGCAAGCGUUACUCGGAAUUACUGGGCGUAAAGCGUGCGUAGGUGGUCGUUUAAGUCCGUUGUGAAAGCCCUGGGCUCAACCUGGGAACUGCAGUGGAUACUGGGCGACUAGAAUGUGGUAGAGGGUAGCGGAAUUCCUGGUGUAGCAGUGAAAUGCGUAGAGAUCAGGAGGAACAUCCAUGGCGAAGGCAGCUACCUGGACCAACAUUGACACUGAGGCACGAAAGCGUGGGGAGCAAACA